CACGUAGGGCGCAAGCGUUGUCCGGAAUUAUUGGGCGUAAAGAGCUCGUAGGCGGUCUGUUGCGUCCGCUGUGAAAACUCGGGGCUUAACCCCGAGCCUGCAGUGGAUACGGGCAGACUAGAGGUAUGCAGGGGAGAACGGAAUUCCUGGUGUAGCGGUGAAAUGCGCAGAUAUCAGGAGGAACACCGGUGGCGAAGGCGGUUCUCUGGGCAUUACCUGACGCUGAGGAGCGAAAGUGUGGGGAGCGAGCAGG
rnacentral:rRNA from 1 species